AAAUGAUUUAGAUAAUCUCAUCUGUACCUGGAAACCUGUCAAGAUAGGAUUCGCCAAGGACAAGGUUAAUUAGUCUGGUUUCCAGCAGUUGGGGCUGAUUCUGGACAAACAUAAUAUCUCCUAAGGGAACGUUUUUUCGAAGCAUCAAAUAAGAUAUCUCGUCGAAACCAUUUAUAGCGUAUUUUAUAAUAGUUCGAACCCAACCUUAUGACGGCCGAAAUAUUCUAGAACCCUCCUCACACAUUCACGUUUGAUUGUAAUGUCCUCACAAGUAAUUAAUUCUUUCCGCAAUUCGUGCGGCAGUGGUUGGAUUUUCUUGGAUUAAGGUGGUUACGAGUAGCUUGACGAAUACGUUUUUGUGCCAAAAGGAUUAGUCUAAUCUCUCGAAUUAUCGCAAGGUUUCGGAACGAUGGACCUUACCUAAGCGUGCCGCGUGUAUCUAGGCUUAGACAGAAAUCUAAUCAUGAAAUAUCUUUCACACCUACACAGAACAGAGCGUUAUGACCAUUAGUCCUACUUUAGUUUGUUAUGCGGAAAUUCUGAGUGGGUUUAGUCAUCCUUUUGGUACAAUAAAGUUUGCAUUUGAAAAAUGA
rnacentral:lncRNA from 1 species